rnacentral:rRNA from 2 species
AUUCUCCCCGGGGGGACGUUCGCAAGAGGAAACUCAAAGGAAAAUUGGGGGGCCCGCACAAGCGGUGGAGCAUGUGGUUUAAUUCGAAGCAACGCGAAGAACCUCCUCACCUCUUCUCAUCCCCCUUUCGGCCCGGUAGACGCGGCCUUUUCCUUCUUGACAGGGGAAACACAGGUGCAUGGUGGUUGUCGUCCUCUGUCGUGAGAUGUUGGGUUAAGUAGUCGCAACGAGAGCGCCCUUAUCAUUAGUAGCCAGCUCGUGAAGGUGGGCACUCUAGGGAGACUGCCAGGGACAACCUGGAGGAAGGUGGGGAUGACGUCAAAUCAUCAUGCCCCUUAUGACCGGGCUACACACGUGCUACAAUGGGAAAACAAAGGGAAGCGAAGCAGUGAUGUGGAGCAAAUCCCAAAAAGCUUGUCCCAGUUCGGACUGUAGUCUGCAACCCGCCUACACGAA